ACGCGCGUUCCCAUUUUGUUGGUUUCUGAGAUCGCCGUAAUGAUUAAUAGGGAUAGUUGGGGGCAUUUGUAUUCCGUCGUCAGAGGUGAAAUUCUUGGAUUGCCGGAAGACAAACUAUUGCGAAAGCAUUUGCCAAGGAUGUUUUCAUUGAUCAAGAACGAAGGAAGGGGGAUCGAAAACGAUCAGAUACCGUUGUAGUCUCUUCUGUAAACUAUGCCAAUUGGGGAUCAGCUCAGGAUUUUUAAUGACUGAGUUGGCACCCGAAGAGAAAUCUUUAAAUGAGGUUCGGGGGGGAGUAUGGUCGCAAGGCUGAAACUUAAAGGAAUUGACGGAAGGGCACCACCAGGUGUGGAGCCUGCGGCUUAAUUUGACUCAACACGGGGAAACUCACCAGGUCCAGACACAAUAAGGAUUGACAGAUUGAUAGCUCUUUCUUGAUCUUGUGGUUGGUGGUGCAUGGCCGUUCUUAGUUGGUGGAGUGAUUUGUCUGGUUAAUUCCGAUAACGAACGAGACCUUAACCUGCUAAAUAGACCAGCCGGCUUUGGCUGGCUGCUGUCUUCUUAGAGGGACUAUCAGCGUUUAGCUGAUGGAAGUUUGAGGCAAUAACAGGUCUGUGAUGCCCUUAGAUGUUCUGGGCCGCACGCGCGCU
rnacentral:rRNA from 1 species